rnacentral:lncRNA from 1 species
GCCAACCAGUUUCUUUAAUGGUAGCACUUUUGAUCUGACGGCAACACCUAGUUCCUCUGUCAACAUUGUAGCGUUCAUCCUCUGCUCCGCAUAGAGUGGCCAAACCAUCAUCGGUACUCCAUUGGUGAUGCUCUCGAGGCUUGAGUUCCAUCCAUAGUGUGAUCAAAAUACUCUUAUUGAUGGAUGACUUAAAAUGUCCACUUGUGGCGCCCAAAGAGGCACAACCAACCCAACGUUACGGGUCCGGGUCAAGAAUUCUUUGGGCAAAUAGGUUGAUGGGUCAUCGUCUCGGUUUCCUUAAAUAAAGAUAUUAAAUUUAAGUGAAAGUAUCGAUUGUAACACAAUAUCAAUAAUUUAUCAAAUACUAUAAAUUAGUACAUUUACGCAGAUAAGAGUUUCUAUGAAGGUAACAAAUAAAAAUUGAUGAUAUAUAUUUGGUAAGUUUGAAAAUCACCUGAAGUGAAAAAAGCAGCAUCUAUGGAUUUAGCUGGUGGUAGUACAACCCAAAUGAAUCUUUGUUUACUCAACUCCAAACCCCAAGCCAUUUUUAUCAUCUGCUCCAAGGACACAGUCCCUCCACUCCCUAAUGACAUAAAUAUCACAGAUUCACAAGGUCGCUUGUCUAGCCAAUUAAACAAGCCCUCAUCCCUUAGACCGGUUGAGGUUGAAUCGGUUGUUUGGACCGGCUUCGUCAAUGGUCCAAUAGGAUAAACUGGCACCCUAGCCACUCUGCCCAAGAGUCCCUCAUCCCGUAACAUAUCUAUUGUUUUGUGCUCCAAGUCCUCCCAUGUGUUCAUCAAAAUCCCAUCACUCUUCGGGAAAUUAGUACAAACUCUUUACGUAUUCCAAAUACUAUUGGUCAGUCCGGUCCAGCAUCGGGUCAACCACGUCUUCGGGCUGAAUGGGCUUGCAACCCAGAAUUCUCAGCGGUUCAGUCUGGUCUACGUACUCUCAUUCCACUUCUUUAUCAAAAACUGGCACGUAGAUAGUCAAAGCUACGAACCAUGUUGUGCUAGCAAUGUAAACAUACUUGGGAAUCCCCAGCUCGUCGCCGAUUGACAGAGAUUCGGUGCUGAAAAGGUCCACAAUAAGCACUGUAGGAAGAAGAGAAUACUUCAUUCCAAGUAUGGCUGACCGAAACGCAGGUCGUACUUCACACAUCAUGACUGCAAGGAGGGUAGCGACAGCAACGUCGGGGCCAAUACAGCCGGAAAUGUCUGGCGGUGGGAGUUCAAUAAUGUCAAAAAGUUUGGGGGUGGCGGCUGCCUUGAGGAGCUCAGACUCAGUCUUGGAAGCAGGAGAUGGGAUGGCAAAAAUCGUCACGGUGAAAUUCCGGUGGGUGAGAAGUCGUUUUGCGAGUUCGAGGACGGGGAUGAGGUGGCCGAGGCCUGGGCUGCAAAGUAUGGCAGCAUGUGGCUGUGAGCUCGUGGUAGACGAAGGGCAAUGGCUUUAGCCAUUAGUGCACCGGUUGAGCUUUAAAAAGGAAAACAAGCAAAUCAAAAUAAUCUUUGGACAAGUUUACUUUUAGAUUAAUACCUUAAUUAAGAUUAAAAAUUAAAUUAAAUUCCUUAACCUCAUGUCCAUAUCAGCAUGCAUAUUCCAACUCGUACUUUAUUUUUAUUUUUGUUUUAGGAUUUUGUUUUGGGAUUUAGAUCCUCUCCUGAGCUAAUGGAGAUGAUCCUUCUGACCAGGCUAUAAUUAUUAUAACUUUAAAGAGGAUCCAAAUCUUAAAAAAGAAAAAAAAUUAAUUAAUUAGAAAACUAUGUUUUAUUUCAAAUAGGAUUUUUAACAAAUUCUAUCAUGCCACAUGUCAUUAUCUAAAAUUAUAAUUUUUCUGAAUAGAUUUUUUAUUAUAUUUUUAACAAAUCCCCGUGGUGCCACGUGUUAUGAUUCUGGAAGAAUUUUAUAGAUAGGUUUUCAAUAAGAAUUUCAACUAAUCUCAUCACGUCAUGUGUCACUAUCCAAGAAUAUCAAGGGAUAACUUUUUUUUAUUUUUUCAAUUUUUAAGUCGAAAAAAUCUGGACCAUUGAUGAUAUAGCCAUUACAUAAUCGAACGGCCCACGAUACACCCCAUGUACUUGUCAUUAAGAAUGAGUUCAAAAUUUUAAAGCUAUUGGAAAUUUAACGGCACCUAAAUUUAGUCGUUGGAAAUUCAACGUACAACAAUUGCCCACGUUGCCCCUAAUUCGGAUGGGUUGAGUGCACCUGCAGAGCAACUUUUUGUUCGGGUCAUUCUUGCUGACUCUUGUGUGAAAGUCCCCACGCUUGACGCAAAAAAAAUAUUAAUGUGGCUGACAUCAAAUGGACUCAGGUGCAUACCCGCGACUUCUAUGUAACUAGAUAAUAGAGAAACUAAUAGAAACUAAGACUGUUUUACGAAAUUAAAAUGAAAUAGUAAGUAAAUAUAAGAGGUUGAAAUGUUUAAUAUGUUGUAUGAAGUUGUAAUUCAACACAAACUUCAAAAUGCAAAAUGUAAAUUACCCUAAGUUUUUAAUAUCUAACCAAGAAAGAAAAGAAUUGGGUCGCAAUAAAAUCGUGGUUAGCUAUCCUUCAUAGUUUGGGUUUUUGAUGUUUAAAGUUGUUCAGAAGGCGCUUUAGUAGUCAAUUUCGAAGCCCUCAGAAACCAUUGGUCUGUUUUAAUAGGGAAAGUAUGAAUAAAGGUCAUAUUUUAUUUCCAAUUUUAAUGUAGCCACUAGUACAGAAAACACUUUGUGCAACUUAGGUCUUUCGUUGCGCAAAGUAAAAAAACGUCGUGCAAAAAUUAGCCCAACGAACCUUCAUCGCACGCCAACGGUCGCGCCAAGGCAAUGACAACAUGACACACCCCGACCCAGAGUAUCCACUAGGAUUCCGACUCGAGUCGUGCUAGCCGACACCUGGAAGAUGACGAAGCCAUAAAGUGUGAUAACGUGGAAAAAGUGAAUAAAUUUAAACCUAAGAGUGCCUAAAUACCAGAGUAUGCUAGUGAACGGGAACGAACCCACUUCACACGUGACGUUAAAGCAUAAGUAAGUACAGUAGAGUGGAUAAGGAUUUUACCCUCAGAAGUAGCCACCUAUCCUGAGAUUUGCCAAUAAUCCUCGUCGAUACGAACAUUCAACAAUUAAAACCUGGAAGGCUGCCAAACAGAAUAUUUGAGUGGGUAAAAACAAAACGUUUGAAACCAUAAUUAUCUUUAUAGUAAUCCUCUUUGCAAAACUGUAUAAUUUCUGAGAAUUCACUAUGUAUAAGUAUGAUAUCAAAUGUACGCUAACAUUAAAUCCAGAAGUAUACCAUAACACAGCAGCUCAACAGAAAUAUAAAUAAUUGUCUGCUUAAUAAUCCAUACUAGUACGCAAGUCGGAGUCACCUAUGGUGACCUGUACAACUGCACCCAUAUCUCAUCAAUCAAUGCUAGAACAUAAGUCGGAGUCACUUAUAGUGACCUGUACGACUUAUCCAUAUGUCAUCAAUCAAUUCUAGCUCAUAACGGAGUCACCUAUAGUGACCUGUACGACUUAUCCAUAUCUUAUCAGUCAAUGAUAGCUCAUAAGUCGGAGUCAUUUAUAGUGACCUGUACGACUUAUCCAUAGCUCAUCACAUAUCCCUGCACACGAGUCGGAACCACCUAUAGUAGUCUCUACGACAAGACUAGGUGUAAAUAAGUACGCUCAAGUGCUACGAUCAUGUGAAGAGUGUGUGAAUAAAUGCGGGUUACCUACGAGUCGGAACCACCUAUAGUGGUCUGUAUGACAGGACUGUGCACCUACCUUGGAUCCAAGGUGAGCAUAAAGUGCGGGAGGUGAACAUCACGUGAAGGACUGUGCCCUGGCCAUGAGCGGGAGCACUAACACCGAGGUGCAGGUUUAUGAGCUCUAAAUGAAUCUAUUGUAACAUAUAUGACUCAUGGGUAACCUGUACGAUAGUGUCGGAGUUGCCUAAAACUUACAUGUAGUCAUACCAUAACUCCAUCAUUUCUACUAAUACCAUAAACUCACAUGAACUUACCUGGGUGUCCUGCGUUCACCUUUGCACUUCAAAGCAUUCAUAAUAAUUAUGUGCAUGUAAUAUUGUUGACCCUAAAAACUACUAAGCCUACGUGGCCUUCGGUGAAUGCGGGGCGUGCCAACUCGUCGGUCGAGCUCGGCCAAGGAGUAAAUUUGUUGAUGUUGCGUUGGGUGCGCUGCUGACUUCCGAAUCUCGCGACUACGGCCGAGGAAGGAACACUCUUGGCCUUCGGGUUCUAGAGCUUGAAGACAAGGCUGCUAGUUCUGCAAAGUUCAAUAUCAAAUUCGGCUUUCAAUAUGCCGAAUGUAAUAACUUGUAACACCUCACUUCGCCAAGAAGGCUAAUGAGAUGACCUCGACCAAUAAGGAUUCAGAAAUCCUUCUCGACCGAGACUUGGAUAGAUAACCAACCGUCCUCGCCGUAGUGUUGUUGAUGCCAACGAAAGAUGCUACGAGAUCGGCUGAUUAUACGGCGACAGAGCUAUCUAUGCCAACUGAAGAUAUCAUCGGUUGCUUUCACAGUGCUGUUGAUGUCAACAGAAGAUGUGUCAGCGAAAAGAGAAAAUAAAAAUCUCAAGUUGUUGAGAGAGUUUGCGCAGGGCAGUUGUGUGUUGAAUUGGAAGUCCUUAAAUGUUGCACGGCAUCUUGUAUUUAUAGGGAUGAGUUAGCAGUUCUAUAUGUGCUUCGCGCGUACCAUCCGUAGCUGGCCACAACUUGAACCCCCUGAAGAUAAGCAUUCCAUACAAAUAAAAACUCUUGAUAGCCAUCCCAACGUCAAUUAGCCGUUUAACAAUGACCCAUCAUCAUUGGCUAUUGGCCAUUGGAUUUGACGAAACCAAGUCAAUUUGCAUAGACAUGAAACUCUUCCUAUAGCAUCAUGAGAAACCAUGCAAUAUUAGUACCCAUAUUCAUGUCUAGGUGCAUUAGCCCAUGCUGUGCUUCCACCUGAAGGAUAUGCUAAUUAUUAGCAUAUAUUUCUAUGCUAACAAUUAUCCUAAAUCAGAAUAUGCCGCACCAUUAUCUCAGAUAGCACCACUAAUCAAAAGGUAACCUUCAUGCAUGGUUAACCGACUCCAAGCAUACGUCUAAAUGCCGAGAAUCCCAAAUCAAAUCAAACUACAUAGCUCGCUUUCAAGUUGGAGAUAUAAUUUGCAUCCUAUUUAUCCCGUAUGAGAGAAUUUCAAGAUAAUUCAUAUUAAAAGAUAAUUAUUAUGAUAAAACCAUAAUAUUAUCCUUUAAUAAUAAUAAUAAAAUUAUCUUCACUUUUCCAUCCAAUGGUUGGAAGCUAUGCUCACUCAACAGCCUUGACUACACGGACCGAUGGUGUAAAUUCGGGUCCAAACAAAUAUACAUAUAGAUAAACCAUGAUGCAAUCUGAUACUCAACCAUGUUAUAGCAUUUCCAUUUACACACACACACACACACACACACACACACACAUAUAUAUAUAUAUAUAUAUAUAUAUAUAUAUAUAUAUAUAUAUAUAUAUAUAUAUAUAUAUAUAUAUAUAUAUAUAUAUAUAUAUCUCACAUUUUCUACCAAUGUCCCUCACAUUGCUUAAUUCCCUAAACAAGGCUAUUGUCUCAAUUAUUUAGUCUCAUUUAUUGUAUGGUUGCAUCUAACGUCUCGUUAGACUGCCUACGUACCCUAAACAGGGAUUAAGCCAUUCGUAGUUCACAUUAGUACUUCAAAGCAUUCACAGUAAUUAUAUGCAAUAAUCAAUUUAUAACCGUUUGUGGAAUUAUCAAUCAUAUAUAUAUACCAUAUAAAGGAAAAGACCCACUUACUUGAGGUCCACGCUAAGACUCCCUAGCACGCAUACCGAGACAUCACGAACCAUCGUCGCCUAUGACCAAUUAUCAAAUCACAUCUCAGAGUUCAUACCGAUAAAAUACACAAUUUACAUAAAACAAACCCUACGUAAUUCAAUUCGGAAGAUAACAGAUUUCCGAUCCGUUGCUUCCAAAGAUCCACAUUAUACUUCUAGAACAACAUUCUAAAGUCCCAUUACGAUCCAACGGUCGGAUCUCUGCCAAUUGUCAAAACCAAGUGGCAAUUAACCUUUUAUUUUAUGAACUUACAAAUCCAAUUCGGGAAGAUCCGUAUAUCGGAUUCCUGACCCGUAAGUUCCUAUGGUCCUCAAAUAUUACGUACUAUAACGUAUUAAAGUUUGGUGACGAUCCGACGGUUGGAUCGUCGAUUCAUACAAUGACCUAUUAACGUAACGUAGAGAAUUUAGAUUCCAACGAUCAACCUACAUCAUACAACUACCAAAAAUGAACUCGAGACAUCUAAUUAGCCUAAGAUUAACAUCAACGGCCCCGGCCACGCGCCGCCGUGGGUAGUGGUCGGCCGUCCCGAACCGCCGAAAAAUCCAACUAUUUCCAAAAAUUACUAAAAUUUACAGAAUUGUAGGUCUCAAUGAGUGAAGCAACUUUCAUACGUGUGACCAAGGCCAAUUAGGCUGAGAAACACCUCAAUUUUACAUAAAUCCGUUGGAAACCUUAAAUAGGGGCUACUUCGAUUCGACCUCCAUGCUCACUCCGACGCCUCCACAAGUGUUUGGGCUUUGUUCCUGAGGUUGAGGGGAGUCUAUUGGUGGUGGUAAUUGGAGGAGGUAGCUUCAAAUCAUGGCAGAAUAGAACCCAACCAGUGCGCCCCUUCUUGUACGGUUUUACCCAAAAUUCACCAAAUUUCCACCCAAUUUUCACAUGAAAAUGGAAAAGGGAUCGGUUGGCCUUGUGGUAAGGGUCAUUUUGACACUAACCUUGUCGUCCAAGGUGGCGAGAGAUGGGAGAAUCCACCGGGUUGGGUCACGAGUUAAGGGAAACUCGAUUUCCCCUUUUUCUUUUCUCCUUCAUUUCCCCUCCUUUCCUUCCUCUGGUUGGUCACCUUCACUCUCUCUCUUCCUUCCCUUGGCCGAAGCUCUCUCUCCCUUCCUCUUUGAUUGGGCAGCCAAUACCCCUUCUUCUUUUUCCCCUUCUCCCCCUGUUUCUUCUUCUCUUUCCCUCAAUUUUUACCAAAGGUAAUCUUAAAAUAAUGUAAUGGUACUUAAGAAAAUAUAUAAAAUAAUAAAUGGUAAUAUCAAUACCCCAAUCCGCUUUUGCUUACGCCUACACAGCCAUAUUGUCGAGUACUACAGAAAUACGCUAAAGGAAUAUUUCAUACGUCUCACUAUACGUUGGUCAACGAAAGUCAAUACCCUCGCCUCUCAGGGCAUUUUCGUAAAUUCACACGUUUAAAAUUUAUAAAAUCAUAGAACUAGGGACGGGUUGUCACACAACAUGGUUUGCACGACGAAGAAGUAACCUAUGUCACUCAAAGUAGUUUUGCACAACGUAGGUUACUUCUUUGUCGCACUAACCCUUUUUUUUGGUAAAAAUAUUUUUUAUUUAAUUUUUAAUAAAUAUUAUAAUUAAAUUCUAAACAAUAAUUAAUAAACCAAGAAAAUUUAUUUAAUUAUAAAAUAUAUAAAAAUGUAUAUACAAGAUGUCCGAACAAAAAAGAAAAAACUACAACAAGUAGUCUUCUAGGUUUGAUGCUUAAUGUUUUCUUCUAUUAUAAAUUCUCUCCAUGUAAGAUUAAUUGGUUAAGCUAAAUUAUCAAUUAAAAUGUACUUUUAUUGAUAAUUUCAGGGAUGUAACACGAUCAUCGGCAUGCCAUGCAUGAGUUAAUUCAGCUUUAAGCUCAUGCAACCGAGAAACAUAUUCCUGGCCCAUGAUGACCUUGCCCCCCUCUUCUGCAAAUUUUUCUAGAUCUUCCAGUUCCUCCAAAUGCAAGCUUGUCGAAGGUUUCUCAUGUGCUGUAAAUUCAUAUCAGUAAAACAAACCAAAGUGACUAUCAUAAUUGCUCAGUUGGGCAACAAAAAUACUUCUGAAAUGAAUACUUGUUCCAAAAAAUUGUAGGAACAAAGCAAAGGAGGCUGACAAAUUUUUCCUACCUUUUGUCAUGUCUAGGGAUGGGCAAAGGUUAUGGUAGAUGGGUAACCGUGGUUAUUUACCCAUAACCAUUUAUGUUCAUACCCGUAUAACCGUUUACCCAUUGGGUAAUACAUAAACAGUUAUACCCAUACCCAUAACCGUUUAUAAACGGUUAACCAUAUCCAUAACCGUAUACCCAUUUAACCAUAACCAUUUACCCGUUUUUGAACCCGUUUAUCCUUUUUUUUUUUACCCAUUUGCCCCUUUUUCACCCGUCUACAUGUUUUCUUUUAACAACUAGAAAAUUAUAAAAGAAAAGUUUGUCAUAAUUUUCGUUAUACCCAUGGUAUGUGCUUACCAAUACAUCGUUAUAACGGGUAUCAAUUUAAAGCAGUUUGUACAAAACCUAGCUAGUUCUGGAAUCACAAAUGCUCGGCUUUCUCCACCAUCUCAUGCUAUUUCAGAUGAUGGUAUGCAUCUGUCCUAAACUCUCUUUCGAACCUUGUCAUUAGUCCAGACCAGAUUUUGUUUUUUAAGUUUUUGUGUAAUAUGACAAUUCUUGUACUGAGGCUUCACCUCAUAGCUUUCCUUUCUACGGAUACAUGCCGAGAAGGCUCUAUGAUCUCAAUACAAAAUAUAUAAACAAAGAUGAAUUAAAGUCACUGGUAAGCACAUACCGCGGCAAUGGAAUACAAUCUGUGGCAGAUAUAGUACCCGUUAUAACCGUUAUAUAUUGAAAAUUACAAUAUAUAAACAAAGAAGACUUUCGUUACAAAAGUAAAAAACAAAAAUAAAGAUUAGUUUUUCAUAUAUUAAAUUAAAUCGGUAAAUGGAUACCCGUUAUAACCGCGGGUAAUACUCAUAACCGCCCAUUUAAAUUUCAUGGAUAAACAGUUAUACCCAUAACCGUAACCGUGAACUUUAAAUUGGUGUAACCGCGGUUACCCAAACCCAUGGGUAUUUUGCCUAUCUCUAGUCAUGUCGGACAUCUGUAAGUGAUAAGAAAAAGGAAAAUAAAAAGUUAGAAGAUAGGUUACAGCUUUCAGUGAGAAACUUAAGGAAGUAAAUAGCUGGAUGAGAAUAGAAGGUAUGGAAAACCAAAAUUUCCUAGAUAGAUAAUAGAGAAACUAAUAGAAAUUGAGAUAGCUGUACGAAAUUGAAAUGAAAUAGUAAGUAAAAGUAUGAGGUUGAAAUAUUAUAAAGGGAGUAAUGCUAGGAAGACUAAAUUUGCAGAUAAAAUUUACAAGCCAAAUUAUGUGUCACCAAUAAGAAAUAAAUAUGUUAAUCAAAACUUAAAUAAUAGUCAAAUUAUCAACAACCACAUCAUAUAAUUUACAAAAUUUGUUUUCAAAUUUAGUUUACCUAGCAUUACCCUUUUAAAAAUGUUGUAUAAGGUUGCAAUUAAUCACAAACUUAAAGAUGCAAAAUGUAAUUUACCCUAACUUUUGAUAUCUAAGUUCUAACGAAGAAAGAAAAGAAUUGGAUCGUAAUCAAAUCGUGAACUGUCCACGGUUUGGGCUUUUGAUGUCUAAAGUUGUUCACGUGGUGCUUCAAUACUCAAUUUCCAAGCCCUCAGACACCACUGGUCUGUUUUAAUAGGGAAAGUAUGAAUAAAGGUCAUAAUCAAUUUCAUCUUUUUAGUGAAGCCCAGCAAAGAUCGAUGUAAAACAAAGAAAUUUUCAAGCUUACCUAAUACCUAUUUAACAAUCCGCAAAACCGAUUUUAAUAUGUUCUUUUGCAUUAGUGUGUAUAUCAAAUUCAAACCAAUAAAGCCAAAACAAACUGAUAGCUACCCUUAAUUAAGAUUUUGUUUGAAAUUUUGUUGUAACAUUACCUUAAGAUUACCCAUUAGUUAUGCAACUAUUAGCUGAUUAUGUCUUUCUAGCAUGUUUAUUGAUAUGAUAUUUACGUAAUUAGGCUUGGCUACGGAGGCUUAUAUUAAAUCCUUUCGUUUAGGACUUAAACCUAUUUAUUGGAGAUGGUCUUACGUCUAUUUGCCAAGCUACCUGCUUCUCGUGAAUUUAACAUGAUUGUUAAAAAAAAUUGGCACUUAGUACUACAGUCUGGUGGUAUUCCUCUUCACUUAGAAGUGAGAGGUCUUAGGUUCGAAUCUCAUGAAUAGAGAAUUCGAUACUAAAUUAGGAUGCCCAUUGUUUAGCUUAACUGAACUCUCCCUUCUUUUAGUGAAAAAAAUAUCAAUGUACUAAAAAAAAAAUUGACUGAACCGAGUUAUGCAGACUUAAAAAAAAUAAAAAAUUGACUGACACAAGUUAUGCAGCAUGAAUAUUCAUCCAUGUAUGAUAACAAAAUAGAUACUUCUUUUUAAAGGGAAAUAUAUAUAUAUAUAUAUAUAUAUAUAUAUAUAUAUAUGUGUGUGUGUGUGUGUGUGUGUGUGUGUGUGUGUGUGUGUGUCUAUAUAAACUUUAAUAUUCAUAACUUCUUCAAUACUCAACGAAAUCAAGUGAUUCAAAAAUGAAAAUCAUACUUCUCGAUGAGACGAAGAGAAUGAUCCUUUUUUGUUGACAGUUAACUAAAGUUAUGAAUGUUUAAAGUUUACCUAGUUUCAGGCGAGUUUUUCAAUUUUCCUUCGGACCAAACAACUUUGCAGCUAUUUUCUGACCAUCUCCCGCAACCAUUGGGCUUCCAAAUAGGUGUAAUCUUAUUCUACACUUUCCUGUCUUCAUUUUGAUAUAUUAUGGGUCGAAUUUGGUUAAGAAACGAUUGAGUUACGAAGCUUUGAAAAUUGCCCAAACUUCCGGCCAAGAGCUCUGGGACACUUAACGGAGUUUUUAACGGAAUGACCAAAAUGAUGGAUGGUGGAAAAUCUCAGGGUCAUUUAUAUUGAUUUGAAAUCUCAGGAAUCAAAAUGAAGAGUUAUGCAAAUCUCAGGAACCAUUUUCGCGAGUUAGCCAUAUAUAUAUAUGUGUGUGUGUGUGUGUGUGUGUGUGACCAGACCAAUUGGUGUGAUUGAGAACAAAAAGAGAACAAAAUUUAUUCUGCACAUGUAAUUUGCCCAAUAGUAGAGAAUACACACCAUUUUGCCAUAUAUCUUAUUGAUGUUUAUACAUCAUCAUACAAUAUUCAAACAGAUUUUUAACUAAAAUGGUUGCUAAGAUUGACCUAAAUCCUCAAUUUGGUCACUAAUAAAGUUUGUUCAUUUUUAUUGUUAAGGACUAAACUGAGAAGUUAAGACAAUUCUCAAGAUUAUUUAGGUUAAAAUGCCUAUUGAAAACAACAAGCAUAUUUGAGAGCCUUCACAUUCUCCAACUCUCCUAGCAUUUUCUUUCAUUGCCACUUGAUAUUUGAGACAGUGCAUUAUAUGACGAACCACCUACGCUCCAUGCUUUGGCAGCACUUAAUUUAAGCCCCUUAACCCUACCUCUUAUGGCCUGACCAUCUUUGUCCACCAUGAUCUUUCUCACCAUUUCCUUUAUCUCUUCCCUGCCAACCAUUUUCUUCGAUGGUAGCACUUUUGAUCUGACGGCAACACCAAGUUCCUCAGUCAACAUUGUAGCGUUCAUCCUCUGCUCCGCAUAGAGUGGCCAAACCAUCAUCGGUACUCCAUUGGUCAUGCUCUCGAGGCUUGAGUUCCAUCCACAAUGUGACCAAAAUCCUCCUAUUGAUGGAUGACUUAAAAUGUCCACUUGAGACACCCAAAGAGGCACAACCAACCCAACGUCAUGAGUCCGGGUCAAGAAUCCUUUGGGCAAAUAGGUUGAUGGGUCAUCGUCUUGAUUUCCUUAAAUAAAAUUACUAAAUGUAAAUGAAGGUAUCGAUUGUAACACAAUAUCAAUAAUUUAUCAAAUACUACAAAUUAGUACAUUACAUAUAUAAGAAUUUCUAUGAAGAUAACAAUUAAAAUUUGAUGAUAUAUAUUAGGUAAGUUUGAAAAUUACCUGAAGUGAAAAAAGCAGCAUCUGCGGAUCUAGCCGGUGGUCGUACAACCCAAAUGAAUCUUUGUUGACUCAAUUCCAAACCCCAAGCCAUUUCUGUCAUCUGCUCCAAGGACACAGUCCCUCCACUCCCUAAUGACACAAAUAUCACAGAUUCACAAGGUUGCUUGUCUAGCCAAUUAAACAAGCCUUCAUCCCUUAUACCGGUUGAGGUUGAACCGGCUGAUUGGACCUGCCUCGUCAAUGGUCCAAUGGGAUAAACUGGCACCUUAACCACUCUGCCCAAGAGUCCCUCAUCCCGUAACGCAUCUAUUGUUUUGUGCUCCAAGUCUUCCCAUGUGUUCAUCAAAAUCCCAUCACUCUUCGGGAAAUUAGUAUCUAUCCUUACAUAUUCCAAAUAUUGUUGGUCAAUCCGGUCCAGCAUCGGGUCAACCACGUCUUCGGGCUGAACGGGCUUGCAACCCGGAAUUCUCAGCGGUUCAGUCUGGUCCACAUACUCUCCUUCCACUUCUUUAUCAAAAACUGGCACGUAGACAGUCAAGGCUACGAACCAUGCAGUGCUAGCAAUGUAAACGUACUUAGGAAUCCCCAGCUCGUCGCCAAUGGACAGAGAUUCGGUGCUGAAGAGGUCAACGAUAAGCACUGUAGGACGAAGAGAAGACUCCAUUCCAAGUAUGGCUGACCGAAACGCAGGUCGUGCUUCACGCAUCAUGACAGCAAGGAGGGUAGUGACAGCAGCAUCGGGGCCAACACAGCCGGAAAUGUCGGGCGGUGGGAGUUCAAUAAUGUCAAAAAAUUUAGGGGUGGCGGCUGCCUUGAGGAGCUCAGACUCAGUCUUGGAAGUAGGAGAUGGGAUGGCGAAGAUCGUCACGGUGAAAUUCCGGUGGGUGACAAGUCGUUUUGCGAGUUCGAAGGCGGGGAUAAGGUGGCCGAGGCCUGGGCUGCAAAGUAUGGCAGCAUGUGGCUGUGAACUCAUGGUAGACGGAGAGCGAUGGCUUUAGCCCUUAGUGCACCAGUUGGGGUUUUUUUUUUUUUUUUGAACAAUUGCGCAUGGCAGUUUGUGUGUUGAACUGGAGUCCCUUAAUGUUGCACAGCCUUCAUGUAUUUAUAACGUUGGAUAUCUACCUGGCACAACCUGAUGGUGCUUGUAGAGUCCAAUUGCAAUUCUUUUCCACGGAACAAAAACUAAUCCACAUCAAAGAACUACCAUAUCCUUCAAAUAGAUGUUCACGAUUUUCCAAACUUCACAAAAGCCUAUCCAAAUAAAAGUCUUAUCACCAUAGCCUAGCCUAUCUAGGCUUGUCAUCGUUAUCCAAGACUAUUAAAUCUUAGACUUAUCACAUCACCAUAAAAAACCAAGCCUAUCUAGACUUCUCCAUAAUCCAUCCAUGCAUGCACCAUGACUUUUCAAACCUCAUCUACCAAGUUUCUCCAAUCUAAUAGCAAUAAUCCCAAGUUCACUCGAAUUGUACUUGUUCGUAGAUAUAAUGCUAAGAUAAUCCAAAUUACAAAAUAAUUACUAUGACAAAAACCAUAAUAUUAUCCUUUAACAAAAAUAUCUUCACUUUUCUAUCCGACGAUUGAAAAAUAUGCUUACUCAACGGCCUUGAUUACACAGGCCGAUGGUGUAAAUUUGGGUCCAAACAAAUGCAUUUUAUAAUUAACUCAUUUUCCCAAUACAAAUCUCAUAAAGAAAAUGAAACAUAAAAUCAAAAGUUUGUAUUUCUUUAAUGGCCUAUUUGCUUCACUUUAACUAGCAUAUGGGCACACGCACAAUUUUUUAUUUUUGUUUUUGAAAUAGAAGAAGAGAGGAAGAGAGGAAGAGAGUGAUAGAGAAUGUGGGAGUGAGAAUUUUUUUUUUUUUUUAAUUAGAGAUGUUAGGAUUACAUGUAGGUGAUGUUUUGAAAAAAAACAACAAAAUUUGGUUUUGUGAAAUUUCAUUUUUGCCUCAUAUUUCUUAUUCAUAUUUUGUUUUAAUUAAAGUGUUAAACUGAUAAUUUCAUAGGAUUUUGGUUGACAAUGAAUGUUUUAUUAAUUAGUAAAGAUGAUCUAGGUUGCAAUCACCAAUAAUUUAAAAGAAAAUAUAAAUUUGCCCUCUCACAUAGAGCUAAGUGCAGUAUAGCGACAGCGACGGUAACACACUUGAAUUUCAUUUAAACAUUUUGUCAAAUACCUUCGGUGCAAAUUUUAAGGGACAAAUUCUUAAUGUUUCAUGAAUCUUUUUUACGACCGAAAGGACGACCGCCCCUCUUGCUCUAUAUGGCCACCGCUCAAAGAUGACAGAUAUUAACUGGCAAGGAAAGCCAAGUCUCGUGGCAAUUUUUAUCUUUAUUUGAAGAGGUGACAAAUACUUUUCUGUAGGGGAGCUUUCUGGGUGUCGUUGAUUGCGUAUUAUUUCAAGAGGCGUAUUCAUAUGAAAUGCUACUGAAGGAUCGGCAUCAGUGAUAGGUACAAUCAUAUUUAUCUCUUUCAUUCCUCUUAAAAUAUCUUUCUAUGAUAUGUUACCGAGAAAUAAAACUAUGACAAUCAGAUCAAUAAUUUUCUUCUGGUUAAUUUAAUUUCAUAUUUUCUUUUAAUUUCUUACAUAUGAGUAAAUAUGAGAAAUGUUGGAAUGAAAUUGAAUCCAUAAUCUUAUUGAUGUUUGUACAUCAUCAUACAAUAUUCAAACAGAUUUUUAACUAAAAUGGUUGUUGAGAUUGACCUAACUCCUCAAUUUGGUCACUAAUAAAGUUUGUUCAUUUUUAUUGUUAAGGACUAAACUGAGAAGUUAAGACAAUUCUCAAGAUCAUUUAGGUUAAAAUUCCUAUUGAAAACAACAAGCAUAUUUGAGAGCCUUCACAUUCUCCAACUCUCCUAGCAUUUUCUUUCAUUGCCACUUGAUAUUUGAGACAGUGCAUUAUAUGACGAACCACCUACACUCCAUGCUUUUGCAGCACUUAAUUUAAGCCCAUUAACCCUACCUCUUAUUGCCUGACCAUCUUUGUCCACCAUGAUCUUUCUCACCAUUUCCUUUAUCUCUUCUCUGCCAACCACUUUCUUCGAUGGUAGCACUUUUGAUCUGACAGCAACACCAAGCUCCUCAGUCAACAGUGUAGCGUUCAUCCUCUGCUCCCCAUAGAGUGGCCAAACCAUCAUCGGUACCCCAUUGGUGAUGCUCUCGAGGCUUGAGUUCCAUCCACAGUGCGACCAAAAUCCUCCUAUUGAUGGAUUACUUAAAAUGUCCACUUGAGACACCCAAAGAGGCACAACCAACCCAACGUCAUGAGUCCGGGUCAAGAAUCCUUUGGGCAAAUAGGUUGAUGGGUCAUCGUCUUGAUUUCCUUAAAUAAAGUUACUAAAUGUAAGUGAAGGUAUCGAUUGUAACACAAUAUCAAUAAUUUAUCAAAUACUACAAAUUAGUACAUUACAUAUAUAAGAAUUUCUAUGAAGAUAACAAUUAAAAAUUGAUGAUAUAUAUUAGGUAAGUUUGAAAAUUACCUGAAGUGAAAAAAUCAGCAUCUGCGGAUCUAGCCGGUGGUCGUACAACCCAAAUGAAUCUUUGUUGACUCAAUUCCAAACCCCAAGCCAUUUCUGUCAUCUGCUCCAAGGACACAGUCCCUCCACUCCCUAAUGACACAAAUAUCACAAAUUCACAAG